rnacentral:rRNA from 1 species
AGCCGCGGUAAUUCCAGCUCCAUUGGCGUAUAUUAAAGUUGUUGCGGUUAAAAAGCUCGUAGUUGGAUCUGUGUAUCGGACGGCCGGUUCGCUGCUCGCAGCGUUCAACUGGUCGGUCCGGACGUCCUGCCGGUGGGCGUCCGCGCAAGCGGGCGUCCGGUACUACCCUCCGGGCUGCUCUUAACCGGGUGGCCCGGUGGGCCGGCACGUUUACUUUGAACAAAUUUGAGUGCUCAAAGCAGGCCUUUGGUCGCCUGAAAACUGUGUGCAUGGAAUAAUGGAAUAGGGCCUCGGUUCUAUUUUGUUGGCUUUUCUGAACUUGAGGUAAUGAUUAAUAGGGACAGACGGGGGCAUUCGUAUUGCGACGUUAGAGGUGAAAUUCUUGGAUCGUCGCAAGACGAACGGAUGCGAAAGCGUUUGCCAAGAAUGUUUUCGCUAAUCAAGAACGAAAGUUAGAGGUUCGAAGGCGAUCAGAUACCGCCCUAGUUCUAACCAUAAACGAUGCCAGCCAGCGAUGCGCCGAAGUUCCUCCGAUGACUCGGCGCGCAGCUUCCGGGAAACCAAAGCUUUUGGGUUCCGGGGGAA